AUUGAACGCUGGCGGCAGGCCUAACACAUGCAAGUCGAGCGGAUGAAGGGAGCUUGCUCCUGGAUUCAGCGGCGGACGGGUGAGUAAUGCCUAGGAAUCUGCCUGGUAGUGGGGGAUAACGUCCGGAAACGGGCGCUAAUACCGCAUACGUCCUGAGGGAGAAAGUGGGGGAUCUUCGGACCUCACGCUAUCAGAUGAGCCUAGGUCGGAUUAGCUAGUUGGUGGGGUAAAGGCCUACCAAGGCGACGAUCCGUAACUGGUCUGAGAGGAUGAUCAGUCACACUGGAACUGAGACACGGUCCAGACUCCUACGGGAGGCAGCAGUGGGGAAUAUUGGACAAUGGGAGAAAGCAUGAUCCAGCCAUGCCGCGUGUGUGAAGAAGGUCUUCGGAUUGUAAAGCACUUUAAGUUGGGAGGAAGGGCAGUAAGUUAAUACCUUGCUGUUUUGACGUUACCAACAGAAUAAGCACCGGCUAACUUCGUG
rnacentral:rRNA from 1 species